CAGUGUUUCCAUGUCUCCCAGUGUCCCCAAGUGUCUCAGUGUCCCCGGGUCUCUCAGUGACAUGGGGACACUGGGAGAAAUGGGAACACU